GCAAACUAAAAGAAAAAAUUUCUACGAAUACACUAAUAAAAUAAAUUAUUGACAUCAUUAAUUAAUUAUUUACUUUAAUAUAAUUUUGAUUUAAUUUAAAUAAUAAUUUAAUAGAUGUAAUUCAUAUACAUACAUAUGAAGAAGAUUAUAUAUAAAGUUGAAGUAUAGUGUGUAGUUGGUUAUUAAUUACAUGAGCAAUUGGUUAUUAAUUAUAUGUGCAUUUAAUAGACCAAAGUUCAAAUCUUGUACUGUAGCUUGCAAUCUUCUCAAAUCUUUUAAGUAAACAGGUAAUAUGAAUCAUUAAACGGGUUACAUGGGUUAUGUUGUAUAACCUGUUUAACUGACUUUUUUGAUACAUGGGUCAUUAAACGGGUUAUUCGGGUCACGUCAUGUGACUUGUUUAGGUGUUUAUUAAACAGGUUACACGAGUCAUAUCGCAUGUGACAUGUUUAAUAAAUAGGUCAUGGUCGUGUUGGAAGUUUAUGACGCAAUUAAGCAUAAUUGUGUCGUGUUAAACAUAAUUGUGCCGUGUCAAAAUGAGAAACAACCUGCUUAAACACGACACGACACGACACGACACGACACGAAUUGCCACCUCUAGCAACCAAGCUCUCAAAAGUGCUAUAAGGCUUGUUCUACAAGUUAUUUCCAUACACGCUUUCAUACCUAUUUUCCAAGGCAAUUAUUAUAAUUUAAGUUAUAGGUUUAAUUUGAGAGAUUAAAAGUACCGAUGUGGCACUUUUGUUAGGUGUUAAUGGGGCAAUUAACGAUAGAAUUCAAUUGAACUGAAGUCUAAAGUUCAAAGUAGAAUUGUUAAUAUAUA
rnacentral:misc_RNA from 1 species